rnacentral:rRNA from 1 species
UACAGAGGGUGCAAGCGUUGUUCGGAAUUACUGGGCGUAAAGCGUGCGUAGUCGGUAUUGAGAGUCGCGGGUGAAAUCCCAGGGCUUAACCCUGGAACUGCCUGCGAGACCUCAGUACUAGAGUGUGAGAGGGGAUAGUGGAAUACCAAGUGUAGCGGUGAAAUGCGUAGAGAUUUGGUGGAACACCGGUGGCGAAGGCGGCUAUCUGGCUCACAACUGACGAUCAGGCACGAAAGCGUGGGGAGCAAA